AGUCUUCCUACCUUACCUCAUGCCCGGCUGGCCCGUGCUCAUCCUUCCGCGCCUUCACUGUCGCCUUGGCCUGCCUUGCCUUUCUGCGUACUCUGCGUUCCCCGCUGGGAGGAGGGUCUGGUGAUAAAAUAGCGGCGAGGCUGCCUUCCUGUACCUAGAAUGACUUUUCUCUUGCCUUCACCUGUCUAACUUCUACUUAUCCUACAUCACAUUCCCCAGGAAGACUUCACUCCCUACCAUUUAGAGGCCUUGAAAACAUGGAUCAAGUCUUAGUCAUCAUUUAUACCAGAGGUCCCCAACACCUGGGCCGUAGACCAGCACCAGUCUGUGCCUGUUAGAAACUGGGCUACACAGCAGGAAGUGAGUGACAGUUCAAAAUAGGUUAUAAAGCAGCGGAGACAACUCACAACAUCCACAACGUAUUUGGCCUAGGAACUGCUAAUGAGAAUGUACAGUGCAGUGGUGGUUCAAGAAGUUUCGCAAAGGAGAGGAGAGCCUUGAAGAUGUGGAGCAUAGUGGCUGGCCAUUGGAAGUUGACAACAACCAAUUAAGAGCUAUCAUAGAAGCCAGUCCUCUUACAACUACACGAGAAGUUGCCAAAGAACUCAACGUUGACCAUUCUGCAAUCAUUUGGCAUUUGAAGCAAAUUGGAAAGGUGAAAAAGCUUGAUAAGUGGGUGCCUCAUUAACUUAGUGAAGAUUUUAAAAAUCAUCGUUUUGAAAUGUCAUUUUCUCUUAAUCUACGCAACAACAGUGAACCAUUUCUCGAUCAGAUUGUGAAGUGCCACAAAAAGUGGAUUUUAUAGGACGACCAGCUCAGUGGUUGGACCACGACACUCCAAAGCACUUCCCAAAGCCGAACUUGCACCAGAAAAAUCUCAUGGUCACUGUUUGGUGGUCUGCUGCGGGUCUGAUCCACUACAACUUUCUGAAUCCUGGGGAGACCCUUAAUCUGAGAAGUAUGCUCAGCAAUUCGAUGAGAUGCACCAAAAACUGCAAUGCCUGCAGCCAGCAUUGGUCAACAGAAAGGGCCCAGUUCUUCUCCAUGACACUGCCUAACCGCAUGUUGCCCAGCGAGCGCUUCAAAAGUUGAACAAAUUGGUCUACGAAGUUUUGCCUCAUUCUCCAUAUUCACCCGACCUCUCACCAACUGACCACCACUUCUUCAAGCAACUCGACAACUUUUUGGAGGGAAAAUGCUUCCACAACCAGCAGGAUGCAGAAUAUGCUUUCCAAGAGUUCGUCGAAUCACAAAGCAUGGAUUUUUAUGCUACAGGAGUAAACAAACAUUUCUUGUUGGCAAAAAUGUGUUGAUUGUAAUGUUUCCUCUUUUGAUUAAUAAGAUGUGUUUGAGCCUAGUUAUAAUGAUUUAAAAUUUACAAUCCAAAAUAACAAUUACUUUGCAUCAAGCUAAUCACACAGUGCCCAAUGUAAUUUCUUGGCAUGAGACCAUUUAUUGUUGAGCUGAAUUGUUGAACUGUCAUGUUUUCCACCAGAGUGGAAACUCCUUUAGAGCAAUAGAUCAUAUAAACUUUUGUCUCCCAAAGUUUAUGGUGUAGUGACAUAGAUCGAUGAUUGAUUAAUUCAAAGAAUGAUAGAUGUAGAACUUACUUGCUUUACAAUAGAAGUUCAGAGGAAGGAAACAUUCAUUCACUGCCUGGGACAGGGGAAGGUGGAAAAGUAAGAGGUUUUCCUUAAGGAAUGGAUAUGAUUUUAAGUGUGUUGAGAGAGACAGUGUCUUGAAAAAGAGUUCAUAAUGGGAAAUAGAAACUCUCCUAAAAUACCAGUCAUAGUCUAGGAACAAUUGGAACACUUCAUAAAUAUCACUAGGGCUACUUCAAAAUCAAAGGGAAUAAACUUCCAAUUGUUUCCAAGCAUUAGGGCUGCACAAUAGGUGGUGGUAAAGAGGGGUGUCUAUUAAUUUGCCAACUAAAACUUUAGACACUGGGUAGGAGGUGCAAAUAUUAGAUUGCUACAAAAGUAAUUGUGGUUUUUGCCAUAUUUUAAUGACAAAACUGCAGUUUCUUUUGCACCAAACUAAUAUAUAGCCACUACAAACUUUGGAUAAAAGUUUCUAUGUAGGAUCCCACAUUUUUCUUAGUGCUGUGCCAAGCACUGCAUAACACACAGAAGCAAAGAGGGGGCCGCAGCAACACAAGGUAAGGAGACAUAGCAGCCUCUGAAGAACACACCUAGGGCUCUUAUUUGUUUUUUCGCUUUUUAUUUUGAAGUAAUUUUAGGAAGUUGCAAAAAAGAACAGAGUCCUGUGGACCCUUGCUUCUCCCAGUGGUGGCAUUUGAUAUUGUUGUAUAAUAUCAAAAUUAGGAAAUUGACUUGACUACAGACCUUAUUUGAUUUUUGUCAUAUUUUAACCUGCAUUCAUUUGCACAUAUAUGUGUAUGCAUGUAACUACGCAGUAUUCCAUGCAUAAAUGUGUGUAACCAUCACUGCAGUCAAGAUUCAGAAUUAUUCUAUCACCAGUCUAUUUUUAAUCCUUCCUAUAUUAAUUACAGGGAUUUUUGACCUUGAUACUAUUGACAUUUGGGAUCAGAUCAUUUUAUGUUGGGGGCGGCUUUUCUGUGCAUUGUAGGAUGUUUAGCAGAAUCCCUACUCACUAGAUGUCAGUAGCAGUCCCACCCUACCCCUGUCAUGACAAUCAAAAAUGUCUCUAGACUGUGCCAGAUGUCCCAUGGGAGGCAAAAUUGCCCCUGGUUGAGAACCACUGCUGUAGAGAGAGCUGGUGGAAUCCUCCCUACCAUCUGCAUCUUUCCAUAAGAGGAAAGUGGAGUAGCAAACGUUAUCAAGUAUCAAAGAAUGAUAUUUCACUACAAAGUCUUUUUCAUUCUGAGUUUAUUGGAAUACUCAAGAUAAACUUCACUGUGAAUUUUUCCCAGUAGAUGCUGAGUAUUCCCAGGAUUCUAUUAUAAAUUUCAUCUUAGUUACUGCAUUUCACCUGCUCAUCUCUUAUCAAGAGUCUGGAAUUUACUCAGGUCUUAUGAAAAUGCCCGAAAAUACUUCCAAGACUAUUCUUUUUUGACCUCUCUUACAAAUAGGUUACUGCUGAUAACCUAAGAGACACAGUCCCUAAGGCAAGCAGAAGUGGUAAGACUAGUUCUCCUGGAAACAUAAAUAGAAGGAUACAUAUUUUGAUAAGUAGACUCAGGCUUGGUCUUUUUUUGUGUAAAACUCUAAGCUUAAUGAUUUCAGUGGACAAAUUUUUUCAAAACAUAUUUGGAAUGUGUUUCUUGACUUAGGAGGUUAGUUUAUGUGAAGAGUCUGCCAUCAUGUAUAAACUAAGUAAAUGAGCCAUGGGGAAAUUAUAGGUGCUUAUUGAGGACAGAGAAAAGAAGCUUAGAAAUGUUCAACAUCUAUAGUAUGAUGCCAGUCAUUGAAGAAUUCCCCAGAGUGCUUCUGGGGAAAAAAAAAAAAAAAAACUUCUGGAAGCUGAGGGGUGUUUUAAAAAGAAUGUAUUGUCUUCCCAUCAUUCAUUGCAUUUGAAUAAUUCUUACAGCCUUUGUUCCCAUUUGAGAAUAGUCAGUGAAUUUAAAGGUCAAGGCAGAACCUGUAGCUUAUCUGAGUUGUUCUGUAAUCCGCAAAGAAUUGUGAGGGAUCUGGGUCUCUAAUUACAAGCUAUCUAUUUCAUGAAUACUAGCAGAAAACACAAGAUUCCUACAUGAGAAACAAAGGUGUUUGUUACAGCAGUAUCAGUGGCCAGCGUGUCAGCAUUUUCUGGCAUCAUUACCCAAGCCCUAAUUUCCACAGUGAUACAAAGAGAGCUAGAUGACACCUGUACACACAGUAGUUUGCAUUAUAGGAGAGGAAAUUCAAACAUGGAAAACAAAUCUUUUAUAAUGGGCAGUAAGCAUGACUUCCCUUUGCUCUGUAAGAAGAUACUUAAAGUCUAAGACUGGUCACUAUAGAAAUAUUCUUGGAAAAAAUUCUAGGCUGGGUUUGGUGGCUCAUGCCUGUAAUCCCAGCACUUUGGGUGUCUGAAGCGGGCAGAUUGCUUGAGCUCAGGAGAUGGAGACCAGUCUGAGCAAUGUGGCGAAAUUCCAUCUCUACAAAAAAUGCAAAAGCCAGGUGUGGUGCAAACCUGUUGUCCCAGCUACUCAGGAGGCUGAUAUGGGAGAAUUGCUAGCAUGCAGGAGAUUGAGGCUGUAGUGAGCUGAGAUUGUGCCACUGCACUCCAGCUUGGCCCACAGAGCAAGACUCUAUCUCAAAAAAAAAAAAUUGUCCAGAAGAAAGACAAUAUAUUAGUUUGCUAUUGCUGCUGGAACAAGUUACCUUGAACUUAGUGGCUUAAAACGACACAGAUUUAUUAACUUCUAGUUCUGGAGGUCAGGAGUCUAAAAUUGAUCUGACAAGGCUAAAAUCAGAGUCUAUGUUCCUUCUGGAAGUUGCAAGGGAGAAUCAAUUGCUUUUUCAAUUUUCUAGAGGCUGCCCACAUUUUUUGGCUUGUGGCCACAUCACGCUAACCUCUACUUCAUUGUUAUAUCUCCUCUGACUCUCUGCCUCUUUCCUUCAUGAGGAUCUUUGUGAUGAUGCUGGGCCCACUCAAGUAAUCCAGGAUUCUCUCCUCAUGUUAAUAUUCUUAUUUGCAUCCUGCAGAGUCACUUUUGCAUGUAAGGUAACAUAUUUUCAAAGGUUUUUUCUUUUUUUUUAAGAGAUAGGGUCUCAGUUACCCAGGCUGGAGUCCAAUGGCACAAUCACAGCUCACUGCAGCCUCAACCUCCCAAGCUCAAGCAGUCCUCCCACCUCAGCCUCCCCAGUAGCUAGGAUCACAGUAUAUACCACCAUGCCUAGCUAAUUUUUUUCUUUUCUUUUCUUUUCUUUUUAAGAGAUGGAUUCUCUCUUUAUUUCCCAGGAUGGUCUCAAAAUGCUGGGCUCAAGUGAUCCUCCCACCUCAGCCUCCUAAAGUUCUGGAAUAAUAGCCCUGUGUCACUGUGCCCAGUCUCAAAGUUUCUGCAGAUUAAAAUGUGGACAUCUUUGGGCAGCCAUUGUUCUAUCCAGUCUAGGCAGGCAGUGCCUCUAUUCAUAAGAUGUGCAGAAUCAGGAAAGACCCAUAAAGAAUUGUCAUUCAACAAUAUCCACCCCUUGUUUCUGUACAUUGUUGACUUCUGGCAAACUUUCCCAUGAGUAUGCCACACUGUUAGUCCAAUGAAUCUGAACCAGGGGCUGGGACCAAAUCUUUUCAAUUUGUUUCAUACAGCAUUAAUAAGGCUAUUGUCAAUGAGACUCCUGGUAGCAAGAUAAGGCCAACCUGCAAUAUUAAUAACCAUGCUUUCCACUGUUCCAGGCCCAGUUAGCCAAACAAAUCUCAUAAAGCAUUAGGGUCUACUUUGGCUGCCUCUGUGGCAUUGUUUAUGUAUUGAUUUUUUCCACUUGGCCCAAGGAAUAAAUCCAAGUAAGUACAGGAAGAUGUAUUAGUAUUUGCACAUAUUUUGUCAUGGCCUGCAAGGAGGAAAUCUAGGACAAUUAUAUCAAUCAACAACCCUAAACAGUAAAGUGAGGUGGAUUUGAAUCCCUUCCAGAGCCAAUAUGAUGCUACUGAUCAUUUCAGCUAAAGUUAGGAAAAAUUUUUUUCCACUCUUAAUUGGCUGGCUUACAUUGUAGGAAUAAUUGGCACAGGUGCGUACACAUAGCAAGUCAGUUAUCCCUCUGAGAAAAUCCUCUGAGUAAUCUAAAGUAGCCUCAUUUGGAUAGCCCUUCCAGUUAUCUUAGGACAAUGUGACUACUGAUGGUGUUUCCUUAAACAUUUGAAGCUUUCUUAUGACCAUCCCUAUGGUGUAACUCACUGUAAAGUGUUUUGGGGUUUGGUUUUGUUUUAAGUUGAAGUCUUACUCUGUCACCGAGGCUGGAGUGCAGCGGUGCAAUCUUGGCUCACUGCAACCUCCACCUCUCAGGUUCAAGCAAUUUUCCUGCCUCAGCCUUCUGAGUAACUGGUACUAAAGGCACGUGCCACCAUGCCCAGCUAAUUUUUAUAUUUUUAGUAGAGAUGGGAUUUCACUAUGUUGGCUAGGCUAGUCUCAAAAGUCCUGAACUCAAGUCAUCUGCCUGCCUCAGUCUCCCAAAGUACUGAGAUUACAGGUAUGGGGCUGUCCCCAGAAAAAGAUCAUUUCCGCUUGGCCAAUUCCUAGUAAUGAUGGCCAAGGGACAAAGGGGAUGGGAUUGGGUGGGGUGUGCGUUGCUUAUAAAUCUGCCUUGAAACUUCAGAAUUCUACCCUGGAAAUUCCUGGACAUGACGCUUCUCUCUUUCCCUUAAUGGCAGUCACAGGCUGGCCCGGUUGGUACAUCCUCUGGGUGGCAGUCCAGCCAAAAGGGGGCCUAAGGGAUUUAAUUCUGGUUCAGUUACUUAUCUGUUGUUUAGCAAGGUUCCAGAUCAAAAGGAUAAUGACCAUGUGGUUGGAAACAUUUCUCCCUAGGUCCCCCUAUAGUGGCCCAUGUGGACCAAAAUCGGGGACACAAUGAGUCUCUAUAAGUUUUAGAAAAAUGUCCUUUUGUUGUCGUUGUUACACCUUACCUUUCUGGCUACAAGGUCUGGAUGUGAGAAGGAAAUGAUUGGGAAAAAAAGGUGAAGCUAUAGCUAUUAGAAGUGGAUUGAGACACUAAUUUUUUUUUUUUUUUUUUGAGACGGUGUUUUUCUCUAUCACCUAGGCUAGAGUGCAGUGGUGCAAUCUUGGCUCACUGCAAGCUCCACCUCCCAGGUUCAAGAGAUUCUCCUGCCUCAGCCUUCUGAGUAGCUGGGAUUAUAGGCAUGCACCAUCAUGCUCGGCUAAUUUUGUGUGUGUGUGUGUGUGUGUGUGUGUGUGUGUGUGUCUAUGUGUGUUCGUUCUUAAAAGAGAUGUAGUUUCAUCAUGUUAGGCUGGUUGGUCUCAAACUCCUGAACUCAGAUGAUCCACCUGCCUCGGCCUCCCAAAGUGCUGGGAUUACAGGCGUGAGCCACUGCGCCUGGCGUGGUAGUGGAGGAGGUAGAUUAAACAACCCCAGCACUAAGAGAAGAAACAUCUUAGAGCUUGGGAGGUACAGGAAAGGUAGAAACAUUAGUAUCUUCUAUCUUUCAGAGCCAUCACUGGAUCUUUACUUAUGAAGGAAAAUAAACUGGUGAGGCUCUCCUGAACUAGCAAACACUUCUAAUCUAACUGACUACUGGGUCUAACACAUCCUGCCAGACAGCUCUGACUGCAAUUGAUUGCCACACUCCUUCACCUUAAUAAGAAAUCUACUGAAAAGAGCAGAAAAUGGCCCAACUCCUGCAUCUCUCAUGAAAAUAAUCUGUUGACACCUCUGGAUAUCUUUCCCACUCCUAUUCCUGUAAACUUUGCUAGUCAUUCUAUAGAGUAAAUGAAUACCACCUGGCCGGUGGCAAGGACAAAUAGAAUGGUAUGUACUGAAGGCCCUCAGGCAGUUGGUUUCUCCAUAAAUAACAACUGGGCUCAAUUAUUCAAACUGUACUGGGAAUCCUAAAAAUGCUAAUUGUAGGACCUACCUAAUAGUCUUUUUUUCUUUUUCUUCUUCUUUUUUUUUUUCUAGAUGGAGUCUCAGUUUGUUACCCAGGCUAGAAUGCAGUGGGGUGUGAUCUUGGCUCACUGAAACCUCUGCCUCCCUGGUUCAAGCAAUUCUCCUGUCUUAGCCUCCUGAGUAGAUGGGACUACAGGCAGGCGCCACCAUGCCCAGCUAAUUUUUGUAUUUUUAGUAGAGACAGGGUUUCACUGUAUUGGUCAAGCUGGUCUUGAACUUCUGACCUCAGAUGAUCUACCUGCCUCAACCUCCCAAAAUGCUGAGAUUACAGGUGUGAGCCACCUCACCCAGCCUCCUAAUAGUCUUCAAUUAAGUUUAGGGGGAAUGCUCAACUCUUUAUAAGAUAAACUCCAAACUUUCUUGAAAGAUUAAACAUUCUAUUUCUAUUGUGUAUAAUCAAGGUGUAAUAUAUAUAUUGACCAUCUUAGUCUGUUUUGUGUUGCUAUAACAGAAUAGCUAGGGCUGGGUCAUGUUUAAAGAAUAGAGGUUUAUUUCACUUACAGUUCUUCAGGCUGGGAAGUUCAAGGGAAUGGCACUGGCUUUUGGCAAGGGUUUUCCUGUUAUGUCAUAGCAUGGCAGAAGAUCAGAGGGGGCAGUGGACAUGUACACAGGGGGCCCAAACAGAAAGAAACUCACUUUGUAACAAUAUGCUCUUGAGAGAACUAAUCCACUCCUCAAGAGUGAGAACUCACUUGGCAUUAAUCUAUUGAUGAGAAAUCUGCCCCCCAUAACUCAGACACCUCUCACUAGACCACACCUCCCAAUACUGCCACAUCAGGAAUCAAAUUUCAACAUGAUUUUUAGUGGGGACAUACCAUCAUUGGCAGAUGGUGUCACAGCUUGAGUAGAGUAAGCAAAAAGUUUAUGUAUAGGAUUGGUAACCUAAAUGUGGAAAGCAAAAUUUAAUAGCUUUUAGAAGCUAGGAAAGGAUUUAUUUUAAAAGAUGCAAAAAGCACAAAUUAUAACAAAAACACUUACAUAAUUACAUUAAAAUUUUAAAACCCCAUCUCUACUAAAAAUACAAAAAUUAGCCAAACGCAGUGGCCCGUGCCUGUAAUCCCAGCUAUUCGGUAGGCUGAGGCAGGAGAAUCACUUGAACCAGGGAGACGGAGGUUGCAGUGAGCCAAGAUCGUGUCACUGCACGACAGAGCAAGACUUUGUCUCAGAAAACAAACAACAACCACCAAAAAAAAAAAAAAAACACUUCAAUGGCUCACAUCUGUAAUCCCAACACUUAGGGAGACCAGGCAAGAGGAUCACUUGAGCUCAGGAGUUUGAGACCAGUCUGAGCAACAUAGUGAGACAUUACGUAAUCUCUACAAAAAUUAAAAAAAAUUAGCCAGGUAUGUUGGUGCAUGCCUUGUAGUCCCAGCUACUCAGGAGGCUGAGGCAAGAGUAUCACUUGAGCCCAAGAGGUCAAGGCGGCAAGAAGCCAUGAUCACACCACUGCACUCCAACCUGGAUGACAGUUAGACCCUGUCUCAAAAUAAAUAAAAUAAAAAUAAAAAACUUCUCUACGUCAAAAACUUCAUAAACAAAAUAAAAAGACAAGCCAUACUGAUGAGCAAAUGUGGGAAACAUAUAAACAACAAUUCACAUCCAGAAUAUAUCAAGAAUGCUUGCAUAUAAAUAAGAAAAAAAAUACCUAAAAGGAAAAAGGGCAUUUCACUCAAAUGAAAACACCUAAGAAAUGCUCAAUCUCGUUGGUUUAUAUGUAAAAAUACAAAUUUAAACAAGAUAUUAUUUCAUCCCCAUUAUACUGGCAAAAACAAAUCUGACAAUAAGUGUUGUUAAGGAUGUAAAGAAAAGGGAACUUUCACAUACUGCUACUGGGAGUGUAAAUUGGUAUAGCCACCUUGGAAAACAAUCUGACAGUAUCUAGUAAAGUUGACGAUAUCCACGUCCAACAAUCCCACAAUUCUACUUCUAAGUAUAGGCCUUAGAAAACUCCCUUACAGAUCACAAGAGACAUAUACAAGAAUAUUUUUUGCAACACUGUAAUAAUUAAAAUGGGAAAUAACAUAAAUAUUUACCUAUCUUACUCAUAUAGCAGAAUAUGAUACAAGAACUAACAUGAGCAAACCCCGAGAUAUAGGUAUCAAAAACAUUCAGCAAAAAGAAAUGCAAGUUGUAUAUCACUACACAUAGUAUAUCAUUAAUAUCAAGUUUUAAAAUAUGCAAAACAGUAUAUUAUGGCAUAAAAACAUGUAUAGGAAUAACAACAAAUAAAUGAAGGUAGUAACCACCUUUGAGAGAGAGAAAGGGAAUGGAAUUGGGGAUUAAUACAUGGAAAGAUGUCCCUCAAUUGUAUCCGUAUUACUUUAUUCCUUAAGCUCAGUGAGAUAUACAUAAAUUGUUAUUUCUUCCUACAUCUGAAAUACCUCAUUGAUUUAGACAGAUUCUUUUUAAACUCUCAAAGUGAAGUAGUAUUAUUCUCCUUUCUCUUCCUUAAUAAUUCAGUCCUAAAGUCAAUAGGUGGAUUCAAGAGUGAAGGAGAAGGUGGCGGGGCAUGGUGGCAGGCACUACAGCCAGAGCUGUGUCAGAGACUGAGCAGGCUAAGGGCAUUCCCACAGUGGAGUGGAGAGGCAGCACUGAUGGGAGAUGGGUUAUAAAUGAGGACAUUCAUCAAAGAAAUAUAAUUGAUCCUCAUUGCUUGUUGAUUCCAUAUUUGAGAAUUUGCCUACUUGUUAAAAUGUACUUGUAACCUCAAAAUGUGAAGCUUUCGUGGCCAUUCACAGACAUGCACAUAGCAACAAAAACUUAAGUUGCUGGAUGUACACAUUCCCAGCUGAGGCUUUCUUGUUUCAUUUCAGCUCUCAUACUGUAAAGAAGUAUCUUUUCCACAGUUUAUUUAGUGCCAAUUAAAAAAAUUUUUUUUUUGC